GACUAACGCUGGCGGCGUGCUUAACACAUGCAAGUCGUACGGUAAGGCCCUUUCGGGGGUACACGAGUGGCGAACGGGUGAGUAACACGUGAGUAACCUGCCCACAACUUUGGGAUAACGCUAGGAAACUGGUGCUAAUACUGGAUAUGUGCUCCUGCUGCAUGGUGGGGGUUGGAAAGCUCCGGCGGUUGUGGAUGGACUCGCGGCCUAUCAGCUUGUUGGUGGGGUAGUGGCCUACCAAGACGGCGACGGGUAGCCGGCCUGAGAGGGUGACCGGCCACAUUGGGACUGAGAUACGGCCCAGACUCCUACGGGAGGCAGCAGUGGGGAAUAUUGCACAAUGGGCGCAAGCCUGAUGCAGCAACGCCGCGGGCGGGAUGACGGCCUUCGGGUUGUAAACCGAUUUCAGCAGGGACGAAGCUUUUUGUGACGGUACCUGCAGAAGAAGCACCGGCUAACUACGUG
rnacentral:rRNA from 1 species